UGGAUCUUUGAAAAUUGUAUUGGCUCUGCAAUUCUACUCUCGUGGAGUUGUUGAUAUCAGACUCAUGUGAAUAAUCCAACCACCCUUUUAUAAUAUCUAGCUGCUUUCCUCCAUUUUGGCGCUUUCGCGACUAUGUAUACUUAUACUGCAUGCUUGUUAGAGGAAGCCAAGCCACAACCUUCCUUCCCCGAGCUCUCUUUCUCAAGUCUCAGAACUCGAAGAGCAUCGAAGCAAUGACGGAGAAGGUGAUCAAAUUCCUGACCACUCCAUUCAGCUUCUUCUUUUCCUUCUAUUGUGUUUGUGAGAGUUCAGUUUCGUACAUCAUAUUAUUCUUUAGUUUCUAUAGUUUGCUGUGAGAUCUUCAUAUUUCUCGGCCUUCGGAGUUGUGAGAUCGUCUUAUGGUUUGUGUUCGCUUGCAUUUACUGUCAGGUCUCCACCUUGAUCAUAGAAGCAGAU
rnacentral:lncRNA from 1 species